AUCCAGCCGACAAGUCCCAUACAGGACGAAAUGCGUGUUCUGGAU
rnacentral:hammerhead_ribozyme from 1 species